rnacentral:rRNA from 1 species
UGAGGGAAUAUUGGGUCAAUGGGCGGAAGCCUGAACCAGCCAUGCCGCGUGAAGGACUAAGGCCCUACGGGUCGUAAACUUCUUUAGACGCAGAGCAAUAAGGUCCACGUGUGGACCGAUGAGAGUAUGCGUAGAAUAAGCAUCGGCUAACUCCGUGCCAGCAGCCGCGGUAAUACGGGGGAUGCGAGCGUUAUCCGGAUUCAUUGGGUUUAAAGGGUGCGCAGGCGGCGCGCCAAGUCAGCGGUCAAAGUUCCGGGCUCAACCCGGUGUCGCCGUUGAAACUGGCGUGCUCGAGUGCGUGCGAGGAAGGCGGAAUGCGUUGUGUAGCGGUGAAAUGCAUAGAUAUGACGCAGAACUCCGAUUGCGAAGGCAGCUUUCCAGCGCGCUACUGACGC